GGGCGAUUAGCUCAGCGGGAGAGCAUCUCGUUUACACCGAGAGGGUCGGGGGUUCAAAUCCCUCAUCGCCUACCA
rnacentral:tRNA from 1 species